GUUUGCUUUGGCACACAUAUACUAAAAGUUAAUACAGGGAAGAUUAGCGUGGUCCCUGCACAAGGAUGACAAGCAAAUUUGUAAAGCAUUGCAUAUUUUG
rnacentral:snRNA from 1 species